GAUGAACGCUGGCGGCGUGCCUAAUACAUGCAAGUCGAGCGAACAGAUAAGGAGCUUGCUCCUUUGACGUUAGCGGCGGACGGGUGAGUAACACGUGGAUAACCUACCUAUAAGACUGGGAUAACUUCGGGAAACCGGAGCUAAUACCGGAUAACAUAUUGAACCGCAUGGUUCAAUAGUGAAAGGCGGCUUUGCUGUCACUUAUAGAUGGAUCCGCGCCGUAUUAGCUAGUUGGUAAGGUAACGGCUUACCAAGGCAACGAUACGUAGCCGACCUGAGAGGGUGACCGCCCCAACUGGAGCUGAAACAGGGUCCAGACUCCGGCGGGGGGAACCAGUAGGGAAUCUUCCGCAAGGGGGGAAAGCCGGACGGAGCAAGGCCGCGUGAGUAAGGAAGGUGUUCGGAUCGAAAAACUGUGUAACGAGGGAAAAACAAAUGUGAAGGGAACUGUGCACAUCUGGAGGUUACCUGAUAAGAAGGCCCGGGCAAACUCCGUG
rnacentral:rRNA from 1 species